rnacentral:rRNA from 1 species
UACAGAGGGUGCGAGCGUUAAUCGGAAUUACUGGGCGUAAAGCGCACGUAGGUGGCGACGUAAGUCGGGUGUGAAAGCCCUGGGCUCAACCUAGGAAGUGCAUUCGAAACUGCGGGGCUGGAGUCCUGGAGAGGAAGGCGGAAUUCUCGGUGUAGAGGUGAAAUUCGUAGAUAUCGAGAGGAACACCGGUGGCGAAGGCGGCCUUCUGGACAGUGACUGACGCUGAGACGCGAAAGCGUGGGGAGCAAACAGG